CUUCUUUGCUGGCGACCGGCGCACGGUGAGUAACACGUAUCCAACCUGCCCUUUACUCGGGGAUAGCCUUUCGAAAGAAAGAUUAAUACCCGAUAGUAUAAUGAUUCCGCAUGGUUUCAUUAUUAAAGGAUUCCGGUAAAGGAUGGGGAUGCGUCCCAUUAGGUUGUUGGUGAGGUAACGGCUCACCAAGCCUUCGAUGGAUAGGGGUUCUGAGAGGAAGGUCCCCCACAUUGGAACUGAGACACGGUCCAA
rnacentral:rRNA from 1 species